rnacentral:rRNA from 1 species
UACGUAGGGUGCAAGCGUUGUCCGGAAUUAUUGGGCGUAAAGAGCUCGUAGGCGGUUUGUCGCGUCUGCUGUGAAAACCCGAGGCUCAACCUCGGGCCUGCAGUGGGUACGGGCAGACUAGAGUGCGGUAGGGGUGACUGGAAUUCCUGGUGUAGCGGUGGAAUGCGCAGAUAUCAGGAGGAACACCGAUGGCGAAGGCAGGUCACUGGGCCGCAACUGACGCUGGAGGAAGCGGAAAGCAUGGGGAGCGAACAGG